rnacentral:rRNA from 1 species
CCUACGGGUGGCAGCAGUGAGGAAUAUUGGUCAAUGGACGAGAGUCUGAACCAGCCAAGUAGCGUGAAGGAUGACUGCCCUAUGGGUUGUAAACUUCUUUUAUAUGGGAAUAAAACGUUCCACGUGUGGGAUUUUGUAUGUACCAUAUGAAUAAGGAUCGGCUAACUCCGUGCCAGCAGCCGCGGUAAUACGGAGGAUCCGAGCGUUAUCCGGAUUUAUUGGGUUUAAAGGGAGCGUAGGUGGAUUGUUAAGUCAGUUGUGAAAGUUUGCGGCUCAACCGUAAAAUUGCAGUUGAAACUGGCAGUCUUGAGUACAGUUGAGGUAGGCGGAAUUCGUGGUGUAGCGGUGAAAUGCUUAGAUAUCACGAAGAACUCCGAUUGCGAAGGCAGUUCACUAGACUGCCACUGACACUGAGGCUCGAAAGUGUGGGUAUCAAACAGGAUUAGAUACCCUGGUAGUC